UGCAGUCGAGCGGUAGCACAGAGGAGCUUGCUCCUUGGGUGACGAGCGGCGGACGGGUGAGUAAUGUCUGGGAAACUGCCUGAUGGAGGGGGAUAACUACUGGAAACGGUAGCUAAUACCGCAUAACCUCGCAAGAGCAAAGAGGGGGACCUUAGGGCCUCUCGCCAUCAGAUGUGCCCAGAUGGGAUUAGCUAGUAGGUGAGGUAAUGGCUCACCUAGGCGACGAUCCCUAGCUGGUCUGAGAGGAUGACCAGCCACACUGGAACUGAGACACGGUCCAGACUCCUACGGGAGGCAGCAGUGGGGAAUAUUGCACAAUGGGCGCAAGCCUGAUGCAGCCAUGCCGCGUGUGUGAAGAAGGCCUUCGGGUUGUAAAGCACUUUCAGCGAGGAGGAAGGCGGUAAGGUUAAUAACCUUAUCGAUUGACGUUACUCGCAGAAGAAGCACCGGCUAACUCCGUGCCAGCAGCCGCGGUAAUACGGAGGGUGCAAGCGUUAAUCGGAAUGACUGGGCGUAAAGCGCACGCAGGCGGUCUGUUAAGUUGGAUGUGAAAUCCCCGGGCUUAACCUGGGAACUGCAUUCAAAACUGACAGGCUAGAGUCUUGUAGAGGGGGGUAGAAUUCCAGGUGUAGCGGUGAAAUGCGUAG
rnacentral:rRNA from 1 species